rnacentral:rRNA from 1 species
UGGCGAACGGGUGAGUAACACGUGGGUGAUCUGCCCUGCACUCUGGGAUAAGCCUGGGAAACUGGGUCUAAUACCGGAUAGGACCAUGCUUUAGUGUGUGUGGUGGAAAGUUUUUUCGGUGUAGGAUGAGCCCGCGGCCUAUCAGCUUGUUGGUGGGGUAAUGGCCUACCAAGGCGGCGACGGGUAGCCGGACUGAGAGGUUGGUCGGCCACAUUGGGACUGAGGUACGGCCCAG